GAGGGUAUAGCUCAGUGGGAGAGUGCAAGCUUAGUGUGCAUGAGGUCCUGGGUUCAAUCCCCAGUACCUCCA
rfam:Camelus ferus unplaced genomic scaffold scaffold978, whole genome shotgun sequence.